CAACAUGGCUCCGGGUAGAGGCCUAGUACUCAUUGCUCCAACGGUAGAGAUCUCUGUGUUAGCAUGUCCUUACUGUGAAUUGCUGUUGCUUGCGUGAAGCUGUUCAAAAGUUACCCUGCUCCAGUAUUGUCUGAUUUUGACUUUUUGGAGUAAGUUCUUGAGAAAUUAGUCCAACCCCCUUCAAUGCAGGAAUCCUGCCCACAGCUGUCCCUGGGUGGGUUUGAACCACCAGCCUUCUGGUUAAUAGCCAGACACACUGAGCAGUGGCGUAGCGUGGGUUGUCAGCACCCGGGGCAAGGCAAGUAAUUUGCGCCCCCUAACCCGUGGAUUUGCGCCCCCUAACCCGUGGAUUUGCGCCCCCUAACCCGUGGAUUUGCGCCCCCUAACCCUAACCCCAAGAUGUUGCGCCCGGUGCGGCUGGCCCCCCCUGCACCCCCCACGCUACGCCACUGACACUGACCCAUUGUGCGACAGAAGGUGUAGGUAAGAACCCAUUUACUAUACCACCCACUUUUGUAUCUAGCCCCACCCACCUGCCAGUAUUUUUAAACCAGUUGCCAAACUGCUCCAGAGGUUGGGGGUAAGAUGGUGUUGGUGAUACUAUCUGUGCUAGCCAAUUGGCACUACCUCAGCUAGUGCUUUCCCAUUCAAAUUGCACCACUUCAUAAAGUUGCUGAACAGGUUUCCUCAGAGCUCUCUUUGGAAUAGGAAAAAAAGAUACCUUUGGACUGGUCUCAAUGAGAGCAGUAGCAAAACAUGCCAUCUGCUCUACAAAUGUGACAUCUGUCUUUAAUCCUACCUGAGCUGGAACAGGACAAAGGCUGUCAGGAGGAACAAAAGGCUUUCAUAAAGGGGCUACAAGAAUGAGGCUUUAAAAAAAUUAACCGCUAACAGAAAACACAGAAAAAAGUUGGAGUUGUGGUGCCCAAUAAAUGUUUUGCAGUGGGCUAUGAAACCAAAGAGAAAGUAGCUACAGGCAGUGACCAAUGGACAGCAGGGGUUUUCUCUCAGGUACAGUUGCAGUCAACUUGGGGUGCUGCCACUCACCUGACCUCUGGAUGGUUGCAUCGCUGCGAUGGAGAGUUUGCCGCAGUGCAAAUGCAUUGGCAGGAUCAACGGAUUGGUUCUUCCACUGUGUUUGCACCAUGCUGACCUAGCCACCAUGUCACAACUGACUGGAGGUCAGGUGAAUGGCAGUGCCCCAUCAUGCUGUUUGCUACCACCCAGGUCUCAUUAUCAUCCCUUGGCUAAAGGUAAAGAGACCCCUGACCAUUAGGUCCAGUCGUGACCGACUCUGGGGUUGCGGCACUCAUCUCGCUUUAUUGGCCAAGGGAGCUGGUGUACAGCUUCUGGGUCAUGUGGCCAGCAUGACUAAGCCGCUUCUGGCGAACCAGAGCAGCGCACGGAAACGCUGUUUACAUUCCCAGCGGAGUGGUACCUGUUUAUCUACUUGCACUUUGAGGUGCUUUCAAACUACUAGGUUGGCAGGAGCUGGGACCGAGCAACAGGAGCUCACCCUGUCACAGGGAUUCGAACUGCUGACCUUCUGAUUGGCAAGUCCUAGGCUCUGUGGUUUAACCCUCAUCCCUCAUCCCUUGGCUAGCAAGCCACAAUUCACAAGUGCAUUUUAAAAGUGAUGUCAAAUUUUAUUUUUUUAAAGAACCAUAUGUACCCAUAUGUGCUCUUCUGCCACUGUCCACACCAAUCUGUUUAGGACAUUUGGAAAGCAUUAAUAAUUCAAGGUUAGCUUAUAGCUUCUCAGGUUUUGUCAUCCCACAGACCGGUCUCCACAGUUCUCUGUCUUGAGCAAGUCAUUGCAAGUCAGCAUACGUCUCCACCCUUUUCCUUUAUCUUAAUAUUGUACCUUCCCAGUUCUUUUGCAUAUUGGGCGCUUUCUGUGGUUGUGUACAACUGGGGUAUAAAGCAAAUGUCAUCUUGUGGCAGCUUGUAAGAACAUACGUAAGAACAUACAUUUUGUUCAUUUAGUACAACAGCACUGGGGCGGAAUUAAACAAACUUGUCGUUGUUUGAUUAUAGAAUUUGACUUCUGGAACACCACAGCCCAUGAAUUGAUUAAAUGCUUAUCCAACAACAAAAUAUAUCUUUCCCCACUUACCACUGGAUGCUCGAUAGUACCAGCCUGCAACCUGGUGCUCAUCCAAAUGUUACGGGACUACAACUCCCAUCUCCCCUGACUAUUGGCCAUGCAGGCUGUGACUGAUUGGAGCUGGAGUCCAACAGCAUCUGGAGAGCACAUGGUUGGGGAAGGCUACUCUGUGGUCUUAGUACUCUGCUAAUACAUUCAUGCCCCACUGUCAUCACCUCCCCUACUGUGUACCAGAGAUCCUAUUUCUUCAUGCUAUUCUUCCACCCUCCAAUAGCCAAAGCAAAUUAGUGGCUAGAGAGAGCCUAGCAGAGAAGCAGUAGCUGAGGUCCCUCAGAAAUGCUUCUCCCACCAGGACAUUUAUUAUGUGUACUGGCUACAUUUCUAUGUCAUGCUUUCUAGGUGGUUCACAGAAUAUUUGUUUCUUUGUUUUCUAUACUGCCCUUCAGCCAAGGAUCACAAGGUGGUUUACAAUACAAAAACACAAAAAUACAUAGCAUAGUAACAAACAAAAAUAAAAGCAAUAACUCUCUAUCAGAAUAGAGAGUCUCACAAUAAAAUAUAACGAAAAAUCUAAAAAAAAUAUAUCAAAAUAUUCCUGAAUAAAACUAAAGCAAAACCAACAAUUGAGGACAAUGGCAGCAUAAGGACUGGAAAAGCAUAAACACAUUUUUGACAAUAGAGGACAUCUGGGAUUUGAGCUUGCUAUGCAGGGGUCAAAUGUGUGCCAGAGAACUUUUGUAAGAUGCGUUUGUGAGACUGGAUGUGUGUUUAUAGUGCUUUUUCUGGGGGUACUCAAGAGUAUGCAGUACUGGCACCUUUUUUCUAGAAGAAAAGCACUGUGUGUUUACAUGGUGUGUUUGUGUGUGUCAAAGAGAUAUAGGGAGUGAGAAAGAGAGAAAGAGAGGGAGAAAGAAAGCAAGUAAAAAGAAAAGAAAAGAAAAGAAAAGAAAAGAAAGAGGGUUUCCAGGCCAAAUGGGGGCUUAAUAUUGUAAACUGGUUGUUGACAUACCUCAAAUGGGUCUUGGCCACAGCACUGGUCCCCCCUCCCUUUAACUCAGUGGAUUUCCCACACAAAAAUAAGGGGGAAAUAUGACCUGUUAUUUUGUUGCCAGCAUUAGGUACCUGCUUUUUAGAGUCAGACCACUGCUCCAUCUAGCUCAGUAUUGUCUACACUGACUGGCAGAGACUCUCCAGGGUUUCAGGCAGCGAGUCUUUCCUAACCCUACCUGGGAACGCUGGAGAUUGAACCGGGGGCUUUCUGUAUGCAAGGCAGAUGCUCUACCACUGAGCUACAGUCCUUCCCCACACAUAGUAUGGGCACUGCAAGCGUGAGAAGCACCAGCUCCACAAUAAACACCCAUCUAGAAGCAUCCCGGUGAAAUAAUGCAGAGAAAGGGUUUAUUUAAUAAGUAAACUCAGACGCAACAUUUCAUGGAUUUCCACUGGUUGAGCUAUAUUCUCAAUUAGUUAGUGAAGGUGGCUCCAUUUCAGUCAAUGGAUAAGACCUUUGGCCACCACAAAAUCAAUGCUGCUGCCUUCAAAGUAAUGGGAUAGGUUCCAGCAGAUAUAAAUGACUGCAGUUCCGUUUAUUGUUCCCAUGCAGGCUUUCCACAGCGACAUCUGAGGAGCUCGGAGGAAAGCUUUUCCAUGGGCUUUCUUACCAUCAUGUGCACAGACACACAAAGGGACAAAAUAUAUUUUCUUUCUGAGCUGGUAGAGAUCCCUCUAUAUGCGGGCUUAUUGUACCUUUAGCACAUUUAUACUUCUGGGCUCUUUACCAGAAAACUCAAAAGGGUGCCACUAAAGUUGUUUUGUCUGACACACAUGAAACAAGAAGAUGGCACCCCUCACUGGAGGCAUGGCUCAACAGGCUGAAGACAAAGCACUGUUUUCUUUUUCCUUGGCUUCUAACUUGGAUAUGAUAAGAACAUAUUGCUGAAUAACUUCACUUCCCCGAGUGGUGAGAAGAACAGAAUUUAAGAUUCAGAAAGGACUGUGUGGAUCAUCUACUCUAGGCACCCCCAAACUUGGCCCGCCAGCUGUUUUGGGACUACAACUCCCAUCAUCCCUAGCUAACAGGACCAGUGGUCAGGGAUGAUGGGAAUUGUAGUCCCAAAUCAGCUGGAGGGCCGAGUUUGGGGAUGCCUGAUUCUACUCUAACCCUUUGUUUUGUACAGGAGCUACAAUGCAGGAUGUAACUACGGCAUUUCAGGGAGAUUGCCAUCCAGUCUCUGCUUAAAUGCCUAUUGUGCAUGUUUAAGGCAGAAAGGAGGAGGAGGGGACAAGGGUAGGGGGCGCAAGAGCCAGUAACAGGCAAAGUCAAUUACGGUGCCAUCUACACGAUACUUUUCAAAUACAGUAUCAUCCCACUUGGCAUGGCAUCCCACAAAGCACCCUGGGAGCUGUAGUUUAAGGGUGCUGAGAGUUGUUGGGAGACACCCAUCCCCCCCACAAAGUUGGAGUUCCCAGAGUGGCUUGGGCAGCCAACCCCUCUUCCCAGGGAACUCUGGGAACUAUAACUACAUGGGGUGGCGUCACCUGACCUCCCGGCAACCGAGUCUCUGCUGCUUAUUGGGAGGGAGAGUGGGAGCAGUGGAGCAGUGGAGCAGUGGAGAGGUCAGCACUGUGCAAAUGCAUCAGCAGGAGCACCUGUGGGUGGGACUGCACAGUGUCAACCGCCCUGCCACCUCACCCCUCCCACUCUCCCUCCCCGUACGCAGCAGCCAUCCUCUGUCAUACCCACCCCAUUGUCUGCUGCUAUUUUCAAUCGCAUGUAGCAUACUUCCAGAGUAAAAGUAUAGUAAAGCACUGGUAGAGAGUGAAUGGAUAACCCGAGGUUGAACAUUCUAGGGCCUUUUAAAUGUGUUUGUGGGAGGGGGGGGUUAUUGUUUUGUUUCUGUUCUUCUUUUAUUAUGUAUUUUGUGUUCUGAUUUUGUAUUUUGAUGUUGUAAACCACCCUGUGAUCUUUGGAUGAAGGCUGGUGUACAAAUUGAAUCAAUAAUACUAAAUAUUGGCCACUGAUUGAGUCAAACAAUUGGUAUACCUAGACCAGUGUUGUCUACUCUGGCAGUGAAUGGCACCCAUGGUCUCAUGCAGAGGUUGCACCCAGUCCUGCUAUCUGAGAUCUGCUUUUAAUUGGAAACCUUCUUUAUGCAAAGCUGGGGCUCCACCAUUAAGCUAUGACCCCAUCCCAGAUUCUUACAAAUUCCGCUGAAACAGCUGAUGGAGCACCAGUGUGACAUACUAUCCUUUUGUUUUCAUGGUUGACGUCAGCCAACAAAGAUCUUAAAGCCAAAUCUGGCCACAGAAAUGCUUCCCAUUUGCAACUUGAAAGACAGGCAUUGGGCGGCGAGAAUGAUGGAUUUGACAAUGGGAUUUUAGGGCAGUCUGCUUUGCAGAUGGGUGCCUUGGCCCACUGCCGUCCAUCCCAUCCUUGAAGCUGCUGCUCUGUAAAACUGGUGGCUGAUCUGAGUUCUAGGUACAAACAAGUUCGAGGUCUGUGUCAGGCUUAGGUGAUUUUGUGGCAGAAUAACCAUUACCUUGGGAGGGACGCGGGUGGUGCUGUGGGUUAAAUCACAGAGCCUAGGACUUGCCGAUCAGAAGGCCGGCGGUUCAAAUCCCCGCGACGGGGUGAGCUCCCGUUGCUCGGUCCCUGCUCCUGCCAACCUAGCAGUUCAAAAGCACAUCCAAGUGCAAGUAGAUAAAUAGGUACCGCUCCAGCAGGAAGGUAAACGGCGUUUCCGUGCGCUGCUCUGGUUCGCCAGAAGCGGCUUAGUCAUGCUGGCCACAUGACCCGGAAGCUGUACGCCGGCUCCCUUGGCCAAUAAAGCGAGAUGAGCGCUGCAACUCCAGAGUUGGUCACGACUGGACCUAAUGGUCAGGGGUCCCUUUACCUUUACCUAACCAUUACCUUACUAGUGAGAUUUUUGGGAUAGAGAAAUUUUCAGUACCACAAUCCCAUUCAUGGAUUCAGUGGGAUAGCUCAGUUGGGAGAACAUGAGACUCUUAACCUCAGAGUUGUGGGUUCAUCCUCUGCUGACUUAGCUAUCCCUAGGAAUAGUACUAGAGCACCACAAUAUCUUACAACUAGGUAGUAAGCCUGGGGUCUCUAAUGUGGUGCCCAUGGUGCAAAAGAUUCCUGCAUUGCAGGGGGUUGAACAAGAUGACCCUUGUGCUCCCUUGCAACUCUACAGUUAUAUGAUUCUAUUUCAAGCAACAGACUUGCAAGGUGUCCUUGGGUAAGUCCGUUUCUUCCUCCUUUCCCCCCACAGUUUGGGAUGACCAUCAAAAGUAAUUGCAUGCAAGCACCUUGACUCACUCACUACAGACUGUCUUGUAUCCAUCACAGUGAGAGGCUGUGACUUUGCUUUAAAGAGAACUUGAAAAUGCUACUUUAUGUUCAGUGGUACCUUGGUUCUCAAACUUAAUCUGUACUGGAAGUCCAUUCCAAAACCAAGAGGCGCUUUCCUAUAGAAAGUAAUGCAAAAUGGAUUAAUCUGUUCCAGGCUUUUAAAAACAAACCCCCGAACAGCACUUUAACAUGAAUUUUACUAUCGAACGAGACCAUUGAUCCAUAACAUGAAAGCAAUAAAGAAUGUACUGCAGUCACACAAUCAGUCAAUCUGUAGCUGAACAGUCACAAAAACAAAACAAAAAAGAGCUGCAAAAACAAAAACGCAAAAUAAAUAGCAAAAACAGAUGGACCUCAGUGUAACACUCGAAACAGAAGUGUGGCACUCAAAGCGGAAGCGUAACACUCAAAACAGAGCAAAUUUGGCUUCCGAAAAAGGUUUGCAAACUGGAACACUUACUUCCAGGUUUGCAGUGUUUGGGUUUUGGGUUUCAAUUGUUUGAGUACCAAGGCGUAUGAGAACCAAAGUACCACAGUACAAGCAAUGCCUCCCUCCCAAGAUUGUGGGGAUUUGCUGCCAUCUUGUGUGCAGCUGGAGCAUAGUGUCUAGUAGAUAAUUUUAUUCAGGUAGGUAGCUGUGUUGGUCUGAUCCAGUCGAAAUAUAUAUAAAAAAAUAAAAACUUGUCCAGAUAAUUGUAUGGGAGGCUGCUGUGUAAUCAUCACCUUGAGACUAUGCUGCAUCUGCCUUGAAUGACUGUGGGUGGAAUAUUUUGUUUCUUUGUGAAGUGGGAACCAGAGUUUCUGUUAUGGAGAGGGGAAUAAGAGAGCAUUGCAAAUACAUUUUAAAAUGUUUGACUGCUUUCAGUUUUGCAAAUCUGAAACAAGAAAACUGUUCUGGCAAAUAUUUUGCAGUGCCUUGUAUUCUAGGAGGGAUUUUAGGUGCACAAAUGUUUUCCUGCUAAAUAAAACAUGGAAUAAUGUACACGCACAACCAUACUGACCAGUUCAACUUCUGAUAUACAUUUGCAAUGAUGCAGAUAAUUCUAUCUAAUAACAUCAAGCAGAAGAAGAAUGUAGGCUGUCAAAUGGGUUGGACAGUCAAACAUAUUUAUUCAGCUUUUAUUAAAUCAAUUUCUUUAAAUUCAGAUUAUGAUCCUUAAUAACUGUCUUUUUUCUGGUGUUUGAGUUCAUGUAUACACAUCUGAAGCUUUUUUCCUGCUGCUAUUAAAAGCUAUAAAGGUUUAAGCAAUUACAAGCUAUAAAGGUCUGAGAGUGCCCUUGUACAAUCUGUUUUCAUCCUUAUAAAAUGAAAUGUGCUCACUGCACUCCCUUCCUUGUGUCGCCAAUUUAGUGGGAGUUUAAAACUGUGCUUCAGUUCACCAGGAACUGAUGAAUUACUGGCCUAGCACUAGCUUUUUAACGUAUAUAUAUAUAUAAUAUUGUUGCUGAACCCAGAGGAACAACAGAAGGAAGCUUGUUGUGUCUGAGACAGAAAUGUCAUGUUACGGCUGAAUUAGGGGAAUACGAUUCAGAAUAAACUAGCAGGAAUUAAGCUUUCUGAGGGCAAGCACAAUAUGCUGAAAAAAUAAGUGAUAUAAAUAUUCAGCAGUGUUCUCCACUUAGAUUCUGAAACAUUAAGGGUAUGUUCCUCUGGGAACUUAUAUGCAGGCUUCAUUUAUUUUCAAAAUGAGAAAAAUGGAACCCAGAAUACAAAGACAAAACAACUUCAGUAAAAGGGUAUUUUCAGCAAAAGAUGCUAAGCUUUUGAACUGAGGAACUCAUCAGUGCGUAUCUUUGAGAACAAAAUUACAUUACUCAAUAGGGAUGAGUGUGAUUCUAAAAUUGACCAAAUUAGAUAAAAUCCUUGCCUAGUGUCUAUACAAAUAUUUGGAUAACCAUUUUAAUCAAGUGAUAAGAAUUUAAAAAUUUAAAAACCAAUUUGAGUCUUUGUGUGUUUAUGUAGUCAGAAGCUCACCACGCACUUACAACGGACAGAAAAAUAUUGGCAAAGUUGGGGUAAAUCUAAGGUUUACAGAUGUCUGAAAAUCUUUAGGGGGGGGAAACCUAAGGAGUGAAGUCAGUGGUGUGUUUCUAGAAAAAGAGGUGGCAGAGCUUGCCAUGAACGCCUCCCUCGUUCUCUUAUAAUGGCAGUGGCACCUACCUGAGAUCUGCCGGAACUGAGUUGUAGUGAGGUCUGGCUGAAAAAAAGCCCUGGGUAAAAUCCAUACCAAAAGGGCCUCAUUAUAACUGAGACAUUUUAAUGAGAGGGGUAAAUCCUAACAAUUGGGUGGGAGGAGAGAAUAGAAUAGAGUGGCUAGAAAAGCAGAAAACAUGGUGCGUGUGAUACAUGAGAAAGACUAGAUGGGUCUUUUAGACUGAUCAAGCAGGGCUCAGUGGGCAAGAAAUGCUGACUGACUGAUGGAGUGGGAUGAAAACUGAAAGUGUGUGUGUGUGUUGGGGUGGGGGUGGGGAAUAAAGUGUCUGGAAUCCUGUACAAAAGCCCUUCACACUACAACAUUUUGUUGCAGGUCCCCUUCAUUCCCUCCACUUUUUAUGUGGAAACUGUGAGUGUCACUGCUUAUGUUGUCGACAUGGUGCCAUCCUCACACAGCAGGGAGGUAUCUUCAUCUGGCACCUAAGGUUUGCUGAAGAACAAAAGUCCUUUCCAGGAAAAGAAAUACCCUACAGGAAGGGAUCAUAGAACAGAUGAGUGGAGGAAGAGUGGGGCGGACGUGGUGAGAACAUUGCCUCUGUGAACUGCUGCUUUCGCCAUGCCCCUGAAGGGCUGAGUCAGGGAGUGGGUAGAUUAAGGAGAAGGCUGCAGAAGGAGGGAGAGACUGUUAUUGGGUGCUCCCAGAGGACACUGAGGAGAGUGCCUCAGCGCCCACCUCAGUAAUUGCACAGAGUGCAGUGGUGUGCCCGUAGAAAGCAUUGCUAAUAACAAGGCCAGUGGAAGUGAUGAUAUUCCAGCUGAACUAUUUAAAAUUUUAAAAGAUGAUGCUGUUAAGGUGCUACACUCAAUAUGCCAGCAAGUUUGGAAAACUCAGCAGUGGCCAGAGGAUUGGAGAAGAUCAGUCUACAUCCCAAUCCCAAAGAAGGGCAGUGCCAAAGAAUGCUCCAACUACCGCACAAUUGCACUCAUUUCACACGCUAGCAAGGUUAUGCUUAAAAUUCUACAAGGCAGGCUUAAGCAGUAUGUGGACCGAGAACUCCCAGAAGUGCAAGCUGGAUUUUGAAGCGGCAGAGGAACCAGAGACCAAAUUGCAAACAUGCGCUGGAUUAUGGAGAAAGCUACAGAGUUCCAGAAAAACAUCUACUUCUGUUUCAUUGACUACGCAAAAGCAUUUGACUGUGUCGACCACAGCAAACUAUGGCAAUUUCUUAAAGAAAUGGGAGUGCCUGAUCACCUCAUCUGUCUCCUGAGAAAUCUCUAUGUGGGACAAGAAGCUACAGUUAGUAUUGGAUAUGGAACAACUGAUUGGUUCAAAAUUGGGAAAGGAGUACGACAAGGCUGUAUAUUGUCUCCCUGCUUAUUUAACUUAUAUGCAGAAUUCAUCAUGCGAAAGGCUGGACUGGAUGAAUCCCAAGCCAGAAUUAAGAUUGCUGGAAGAAAUAUCAACAACCUCAGAUAUGCAGAUGACACAACCUUGAUGGCAGAAAGUGAGGAGGAAUUAAAGAACCUUUUAAUAUGGUCUGAAGCUCAGUACAGUGGUGCCCCGCAAGACGAAUGCCUCGCAAGACGGAAAACUCGCUAGACGAAAGAGUUUUCCGUUUUGGAGGUGCCUCGCAAAACGAAUCUGCUAUGGGCUUGCUUCGCAAGACGAAAAUGUCUUGCGAGUUCCUGGGUUUUUUUUCCCCUUUCCCCCUCUUUUUCUAAGUCGCUAAGCCGCUUAUCUGCUUAUCCGAUAAGCUGAUAAGCUGCUAAAAGCCGCUAAAAGCCGCUAAAAGCCGCUAAUAGCGCUAAUAGCGCUAAUCCGCUAAUCCCAUCAAUGGGCUUGCUUCGCAAGACGAAAAAACCGCUAGACGAAGAGACUCCCAGAACGGAUUCUUUUCGUCUUGCGAGGCACCACUGUAUAAAAAAAACUAAGAUCAUGGCCACUGGUUCCAUCACCUACUGGCAAAUAGAAGGGGAAGAAAUGGAGGCAGUGAGAGAUUUUCCUUUCUUGGGUUCCAUGAUCACUGCAGAUGGUGACAGCAGUCACAAAAUUAAAAGACACCUGCUUCUUGGGAGAAAAGCAAUGACAAACCUAGACAGCAUCUUAAAAAGCAGAGACAUCACCUUGCUGACAAAGGUCCGUAUAGUUAAAGCUAUGGUUUUCCCAGUAGUGAUGUAUGGAAGUGAGAGCAGGACCGUAAAGAAGGCUGAUCGCUGAAGAAUUGAUGCUUUUGAAUUAUGGUGCUGGAGGAGACUCUUGAGAGUCCCAUGGACUGCAAGAAGAUCAAACCUCUCCAUUCUGUCCUCUCCAUCACUGGAAGGACAGAUCCUGAAGCUGAGGCUCCAAUAUUUUGGCCACCUCAUGAGAAGAGAAGACUCCCUGGAAAAGACCCUGAUGUUGGGAAAGACGGAGGGCACAAGGAGAAGGGGACGACAGAGGACGAGAUGGUUGGACAGUGUUCUCAAAGCUACCAGCAUGAGUUUGACCAGACUACGGGAGACAGUGGAAGACAGGAGUGCCUGGCAUGCUCUGGUCCAUGGGGGUCACGAAGAGUCGGACGCGUCUAAACAACUAAACAGCAACAGCAACAACAGCAACAACAACAACAACAACAGCAGUGGUGUGCACUCAGUAAUGCACCAGAGUAAUGCCUUGAGUCCAAGGCAAAAAAAAAAAGUAAUCAGGUUUUGCUCAAGCAAGUCCCAUUCUCCUUCCCACCAGCAUUUUCUUUGUUUGAAGAUCAACAAAGAAAAUGCUGGUGGGAAGGAGAAUGGGACUCGCUUGAGCAAAACCUGAUUACUUUUUUUUUUUGCCUUGGACUCACUGAAGUGACUCAAAACUGUGUCUUUAAGAGCUUGCUUUUUCCUCCGAUGGCUUUGUUCUCUUGUGCCAUGUCCUUUUAGAUUGUGCGCACCUCUUCUCUGUUCAGGAAGGAUGGGAGUACAAUCCUGGCAUCCAGUGAAAUGGAUGGGCAUGUUUAAGGGGAUGUAUUCAAUGUAGGCGAGGCCAAGCUAGCGCAAACAGGAGCUUGGGGCAUUUGGAUUUUUUUUACUGAGUCUUUUUGUGGUCACUCAGUGUGGCUCAUGCCCACUAGACCUGGUAGGGUGCUAGGCAGUCAUGGGGACAUAGCCAAUGAGAUCAUGGGGGCAUGGCCAGUUUUUCUGGUCCCCCCAUCCUCCUUCGCAAUGGUACUGUAGACAAUUAAGCAUUGUAGGAUGAAGAGUCACUCAGGUAAGGUGUCAGUGGUGGAGAGCGAGAGAUGGAAGGGUAGUGGUUAAUGGAAGACAGCAUGAGAUACUUUCAGUCCUCUGGUGAUGGGUGGCAGGGAGGGGCAGAGAAGGAAUAGAAAGGGGGUGGGUGGAAAUGCCUGGGUGGAAAGGGGGCAUUUGGAGGGAAUAGAGAGAAAAGGAGAUAAGUCAGAGUGUGCGAGAAAGAGAGGCAGAGAGACAGAGAAGGAGGGAGGGAGUUUUAUGCCUCUGGUGACAAUCAAGAAACAAGCUACAUGCACUGGACCAACUCCAUCAUGUCAAGAGCAGCAUCCUCAACUUCAGAGUUGCCACAGAAGUAGGGUCCCAGGGAAACCAGCACCAGCUACACCCCAGAACUGUAAGUGGAGAUCUUCAAUAUAUUUUCAAUUGUCAACCUAGAUUUUGGCUCAAAGCUUUCUUUGACCUGUAGGGUAUCACUGUUUGUGCCUGACAAAGCAGCUAGUUUUUCAUGUUAUUUUUCAUCUCCUUGUGUUUGAACAAAUGCAUUUGUUUUUGUGUGUUUCAGGUGCGUGAUAAGGAAAGUAUUUACCCAGAUCUUAAAAAAUGGGGUCCACUUUUUUUUUUUUUGGUGGCGGCAGCAGGAAGGGGCUUGAGUCAGUAGGGUUAGCAAGAAGUAACUUCUUGAUCUUUGAACACAGUCCUUGGUACUAAUACAAAGUUUGCAACUAAGUCUUCAAAAGCAAAAACAUUUCCAAGAAUGUUAAACUUCAAUUAUUAUAAUUUGAACACUGUGCCUUUCUCUAAAGUGCGUGACAAUGACAAAAAGGGAAGAAAAACAAAUCAAUGGGAAAUGGUGAGGAGAAUUUAUGGACCAGAAAGAUUGAGGAAUUUUAUUGGCUGUAUGAAGAACAGAUAUUGUUGCAAAGACUAAAUCAAAGUGAUUAAGAUGGAUUGGCUGCAUUUUAGGAAUGCCUGCUGAAAGAAAACCAUGACAAAUUUUUAGAUGCAUUGCUAUAAGGUAGAACUUCAGGAUGGCCUUGACUAAGAUGCAUAGAUAAGAUAGAAAGUGGUUUUUAAAUGAGUAGUGUGUUUACAAACUGGAAGAGAACAUGCCUGGAAAAAAAAUGGAGGAAAAUUGCUACCGUGGCAGCAAAGAGCCUAUAUUGAGAGAUGUUCUUUAUGCAGAAAAACCUCUUAUAAUCCCAUUAGUCAAGAUGUAUGGAGUAGCAACUAGACGCGACAGUGGGAGAUCUGUUUUGGGCUGUAAUCUUAUACUCACUUUCAUGAGAAUAAGCUCUAUUGAACUCAGUGCAACUGAUUUUGGAUCAGGGGUAUAUAGGAUUGUGCUGUUUAAAAUGUACCAUAACAGGACCUCUAUCUAUCUCAGCCUCCCCCAAUUUGGUGGUCUCCAAAUAUUGUUGAACUACAGCUACUAGAAUCUCUGACUGCGGCUAAUGUGAGUUGUAGUACAAAACACUGGGAGCAGGGAGGGCACCAGGUUGGGGAAGACUGGCCCAUACUUCCUCCCCAUGGGGCAAAUUGCAGUUAUGGGAUGAAAGUGGUGUGGUAUGGGGGUGAAUCUCCAUUUUACUAGCACCAUGACCCCAAACUGAAUAAUGACCUUAUGCUUGAUUAUACUUUUGAAAAACUGUGGAAAAGAAGAUCAUGGAUCUUUCACUUAGUACAAUAUAGUAUUUUGGCUCAGAUAGUCCAGUCCUGUGGGCGAUGAUGUCUACACGGCAAUGCAUAGGACAGGGGUCAGCAAACUUUUUCAGCAGGGGGCCGGUCCACUGUCCCUCAAACCUUGUGAGGGGGGGCGGACUAUAUUUUAAAGGAAAAAAAUGAACAAAUUCCUAUACGCCACAAAUAACCCAGAGAUGCAUUUUAAAUAAAAGCAGCUACGGCCACCCCAAAACUAUCCGUGGUAAUUUGGGGGCGCUGGGCGGAUAUUUGCACCCCGGUGUCGCAUCUGCUAAAGAUGGCCCUGGCCUUCCUCUCUCAAUUAGCCUUUUAAGUUGAUAUCUUUCCCUGUCUGCAUACAAAUUAGAAUUUUUUCAAAUAAAAAUAAAUAAAUAUAUAUGGCUUUCUUAAAUUUCAUUUAUGUUCCCAUUAUUUGUCUGCUUUGAUUUAACUAAAUCAUUCAAAUGUAUUCUACUUUUGAUUUGAUUCUGGAUCUUUUUUAAAAUUACCAUUACUUUGCUGCAGGAGGUUCAGCAAAGCUAAAAACAUCUAUUUUCAGUCACUUAACUUCCCUGGCACUGAAGAAACUCUCCUUUGGUUUUUCUGAAUGUACGAGCUUUCAGGAAUGCUGUGACAGAAUCUGAAGAAGCUUGGAAGCUGAAUGCAAAGGCUCUUGUGGGAUUUUGUAACUUUAAUUGUGAUCUGUUUACCAUUGUUAAUAGCACAUGCAAACUCUUUCCUUCCCUCUCUCUGGGAAGCCUUUUGUACUGUGCUUUACGGGUCAAAUUGUGUUAUUAGCAAAGGGCCUCUAGAAGGAGCUGUUGCUCUUUCCAAGUGACCUCCAGAGAAAAAAGAAAAGAGAAAAGUGCUCCCUAUUGAGAGAUGCUGGCUGGCUUUGUCAGACAACAUAGCCCCAAUUGGAAAGACAAAAUGUGAAGAUGAGAGAGACGUUGGUCCUGGAGGUUGGAUUUGAAAUUUGACUCAUGUUAUUAUAUUUGAAGCCUCAUUUCAACAGCAACUGGUUGCCACAGUCAAGAGUUUCAGAUUUAUGGUUUGAAACAGACUUAUGAAAAGGCAAAAUCAACAAGGACUCUGGUGGCACCUUAAAAAAUGAACAGAUUUCUAUUUUCCAAGGCUAGAGCCAACUUUUCAUGCAGUUCUUCAGCGUGGUGAGCCUGUCUCCUUCCAGAUGUUAUUGAACUAGUAACUCCCAUUGGACUUGCGGACUGAGGCUGAUGUGGAGGUAACAACAUCUGCAGGGCACCAGGUUGGAGAAGAUUCAUAUAAUUAAACUAGACCAUAUGAAUGUCUGGAGGCAAAUGAGUUCCAAAGAUAAGGAGCCACAGAAGAAAGUGCAUGGAGUUCUGAGACAAUAGAUCCUGGUUUUUGUUCUAAGGGCUAAAGCAGAUAUGAUCUGGUAGGAGAGCCAGGAGUGCCUUUCCUUAGAAAGAUGCCUUGUGCAGAUUGAUAGAGAUGGGCUUGAUCCUAGUCUCAAACCCCUUGUAUGGAAAAUUAUAGAUUUAGCUUAGAAGUGCCAUUUGCAUUCAACCACAAAAGACAGAUCCCUCCUCUGAAGAGCUUACAACCUAAUUUUAGAUAGAUGGGAAGCCUACAGAGGGCAAGAUGGAAGAAGAGAAGCAUUAUCCCUAAAUGAGAAGGACCACAUUCCUGGGAUUGAAUGUCCAGUGUUGGUACCUGCUCUGCAGAAAAUCCUGGAGAUUAGGCCGAUUCAGCUGUGCACUCACUAUACAUAUUAAUAAGAACCUAACAAGACAUGGGCUGUUGUUUCUCGUUUAAUAGAAGCCACAGGGACCCUUGAAUUGAAUCAGGACCAUAGCACUGAAGAAUGAGAUUAAUCCUUUAUUCCAAUUAGCCCUCACUGCCGUCUGUAGUUUACUGGUACCGAGGUAUCCAUGCAAGAUCUGUAAGUUUUACUCUGCAUGGUGCAAAUAGAAGAUAUGGGCAAGAGAAUUUUAAUCAGAAAAAUAAUAUGGAGCUAACCCUACCUAUUCUAGUGUCAUAUUCCUAAUCUAACCAGUAUCUCCUCAUUGCACCUAUCUUUUUAAUGCAAGAGAAUCAUAGCUAUCCCACACUGCAUCUAAUUUGGGCCUAAAAGACUGACUUUAAAAAUUAGUAGCAGAAAAACACUGGGCAGAGGAAAAAUAAUUCAAGGUUAGGUAAGACAUCUAUGGAGGAAAUCAGCAGGUAGCGGGCCUUGCAUAUGCCUUGCUAGAAAACUGGCACAUCAGGAAACUUGAAUCUUGUGGCUAGAAUGAAAAGUGAAAUUGUCAAGAAUGGGAUGACAUCAAAAUCCUCCACCUAGUGCACUUCCACAGUGUGCAUAGUGUAUAAACUGUAUGUCAGGACUGGAAAUAUUGGUGGCAGAAAGGAAGGUGGGACUACCACCUUUCUUAGUUUGAUUUCCUGUGGGGUUUAUUUUGGGAAGCACGUUCUCACUUGUCCCACAUUACAUUGCUCCCUAUGAUGCCAGACUCCUGCAAUGAUUUUAAAAAAUUAUAGGGAGUAAUUUACUGCAGGACAUAUACAGACAAAGGCAUCUGAAGCAGGCGACCCUUGCAGUAAUAAUUCCCUCAGUAAAUCUGGUCGCAGCUGUUCCUGCUGAUGCACUGGCUCGUGGGUGAGAUCAGAGUGCAGUAGAGCAGGGCUGCUCUGUGACUUCCUGAGUCAUCAAUCAGACUAGAAAGCAUGUUGACACUACUAAGCUAAAGGACAAGAAUCAGCGACACCUUGGCGCCUCUGCACGGCACAGGCUUUUUCUGCUAGCAGUCCCGGGGGGUUCUGGUGUCUCUGUCUCUCCUAGCUGUUGUCAGUCUGCCUGGCACCUGGCACCCUUUUCUCUGGCAUUGGCUUCCACUGCUAGGCCUUCUGGCAUGGUAUGCCGAGCCUUCUUUUCCCAGAUCCAAUUGCUGUCUCAUGCUCUUUCCAAGCCAAGGUGUCGCUAACUAGCCCCUAAAAACAGCACAUACCAUCUCUGACGGUUCUUUUAUCAGCUUCUGUUUCCAUGUCCACUGCCCAUCUUGCAAAUGCGUCUGUUUGCACGGUUAUGUUCCAGACCUGUUCCUGAAAGUAAAAUCCUGCCCUCCUUUUCCAUCACCUUAUUCAUAGAAUGGUUUGACCCUGUGAACCCCCCUGAUGCCCGUGGAGAGGAGCGUUGGGCUGGAGUGCCAUGCUGGGGUUGCCCCUUGCCCACCUCCCUCCAUCCCUGCCCACUCACUGUCUAGGGAGCAUGCCAAGCGAGGAGAGAGUGAGCCAUUCAGCAAGGGGGCUGGGGACACGGCGGGGAGGCCAAGCUGGGCUUCGGGGUCCAGAGACCCCCCAGGGCAGACAGGGAAGGAUGGGGAGCCAGAGACAGGGUCCACCAAAAUGCACCUGGGUGGGACGAUGAUCCCCACAGAAGCCAGUGUCUGCGUGGGGGUGCCUAGUUUGUGCCCCCUCAAAAUUAUGCAUCCAGGGCCAUGGCCCUCCUGGUCUUCCUGCGUUACGCCCCUUGGGUACAUGUGGCUCAUGCAACCACAUGACAGGAUGUAUUGAGGAUUUUUGUGCCAGCUAUAUACUGCAUGGUUGCAUUGGGCGUCUGGAGCCAUCAGCCAUGCGGGAUCAUGUUAUGGAAAAGGGUCUCUUGUAAGUCUGCUGCUUGCAUUUGAAGGGCGUCUCAGGGCAAGAUGUAUUGACGAAAGACACCCUUAUUCAAAUGUAGGGUGCUAUUUAGCUCCUCUUAUUGCUGUGAUGGUUAGAGUACCAGAACACAGUCCUCUGCUGCACUACAUUCUCUCCCCAUCCCCCGGCCUCUCUGCUUCCCUUGAGUUUUACAAGCUGUGCCCUGGGUCUGCAUUCAGCUUCUUUUCACUUCUGCAAAUCUCGGCCUCAAGGCAGAACAGGAACAGGAGCUAUGUGAAAUAGCUUCAGGCACCUGCCAAGGCUUGGCUCUUAAUUUUGGAUUUCCCUGUGCAUCAGUUUCUCCAGAUCAUUUUUCGUUGCUCAGGAGGAAAACUGAUCCAUCAAGCUCUUUUCUUGUAUCGCCUGUGGCAUUGUCUAAUUUCACACCCCCUUGUCCUACUCACAGCAUGCUAGACGGAUCUGUCCCUCUUUGAUUUCACAUCUGCUGAGUCUUGGAUCUUUUUUGCAUUAGAGGUGUUGAGGACUUGAUGCACUUCCUGCUCCUCUUGUUGGAAUAACCCCCAGCACAGGCAGCCUCCCCUUUAGGAUGCUGUCACUGAAGCUGCUUGAUAGGGGAGUGAGCUAGAUGGUUUUGUGGCUGCCCUCUGUUUACACAUGUCCUUUGAGUGCAAGUCUGCUCUUGGUUAAUUGCAGCAGGGCUCAUGUCAGAGGCACUUUUUAAUUGGCUUAUGGUGUGAAAAACCGUGAAAUCUGGGCCAUGUUUUAUUAUAGUUCCUAUCGCUCUGAACAAGAUGGGAGUAAUUAAACUCAUGCUGUCAUUUUAGCUCAGCUCAGCUCUGUUCAAAGCAGGGUUUAUUUUUAAGCAUUAUAGAUACGGCGUAGCCUUCUGAUAGCAAAGUCAGGGAUUUUGUGUGUGCACAUUUCUAUUCUCUGCCAUAACCUGGUUGGUCCUGCCGUCUGUGCGCUAAAACAAAUGGGAGCUUUAGCCGUCCUACAAGUUUUGUAAGAGAAGAAUUUGCUGCUAAGCCGGUCCCUUCUAGUGCGUGGAGUUGCUUUGCAGCUGCUAAGUGGACUUACCUUCCAGACACUAUAAUGUUUUUGUUCUGAUCACUAAGCCUGUGAGGAGUAGGCACUUAGGAAUGCAGUUUUGAAGGGUAAGAAUUUCAUUUCCUACUCAGCGUCACAGAAGAUGCCAAUCCCAUUUUCAGGGCAUACUUUUGAGCCAAGGCUCAUCAGCAUUAAGCCCCUGAAUCUGCUUUGAAUGUCAGGGAAUGUCAGCGUAAAGUAAUGGCAGUGGGUGCCUCUGAGUACAUGCAGAGUGUCUCCCCCCCAAGGGAUUUCCCCCUUCUCCUCCACCCAUGUGUGCCUAGCAUCAUCCCCAAAUCUGCACCAGAGGGUUGGGGGAACCGCAGAAUGGAUUUAGGGGACACUCAGGGGGAGAAGAGAGGGAGAACUUUCUGCUGUGCAAGGAGAACUCUUUGUGUUGACAGAACAUUUUGCUUGGUGCUGCAUUCAAUAUAAUUCAUUGGCUUCCACCCUUUCUGCCUCCCUGCCCCUUAUGCCUGGAACUGCCCUCCAAAACACAUCUAUGUGACCACUACCCUCUCCUCAAAGCUGAUCUUUUCCAGGACAUUUUUGGAACAACUUCCUGGUCCCAAUACUAUAUCACAACUAAGCCAAAAUACCUGUAUUUAAAAUAAUUGUAUAUUCUUUCCCUGUUUAUUCCUGUCUCCAUUUCACCCCUUUCCUCUUUGUUUUCCACAUGCCUUUUUAAUGUUCGUAAGUCCUCUGCGACAUGGAUUUGUCAAACAUAUUCUUCGUAAAGCAUUAUGUAUAUAGAUGGUGGCAUCCUCAUCGGUGAUGGACUUGUAUCCAGAAGAUUUGGGUGGCCUUGGAAAAGUCACUUUCUCUCAGUGUAGCCUACCUUGCAUGGGAGCUGUGAGGGUAACUCUGGAGUCCCUUGAGAAAGUAUGGAAAACAAAUAUGCUAAAAAUCACAUCUCUAUUCCAUGGAAGCAUCUUCUGCGUAAGAAUUUGGCAAUGUGUGAAUUGGUCCUGACAAUAGACUCUGAUUCCACAGUAGGUCAGAGGAUCUUGCUUUAGGCAAAAUGUUGUGUCUUAGGUUUUUUUUGAAAAGUGGAUUUAAUUAAAAAUUAAUUGGAAACAAGUUUAACUAUUAAAAUGGCACUGCCCUAUGAAUAAUGGAUGGGAUUUUAAAACACUGCCUUCUAACUGCCCAGCAAGAGCAUACGUCUGCAAACUGGGGUUUUAUGGGUCAUGCAUUAAUUAUUAUUGUAUCUGCUUCCUUUCACCCCCCCCCUCCCAUUCUCAGAGAGAGCAGCCACUCUAGGAUGUUUUGUCAGUGGGUUAGCAGUGGCACAGUAGAAGGUCAGCCGCAAACCCCAUGGUGUGGGAUGGAUUUUCUCUCCUUGAGCACAAUGUGGUAGAUCUAGAUGCCCGAGGAUGUAUGAAACCCAGGCUGGCGGAUGGGACAAUGUUAUCUGUUCAAAUAAAUGAAUGCUUUGAUGCAGGGCUUGAGCUGAAGGGGGGAAGGAUUUGUUCCGACCCCUCUGACAAAGACUCAACCUCCAGCAGAGAAAAAAAGCAGGCACUAUGACCCACAAGUGACCUGGAGUAAGCUGAAGGUUGAGUGUACUGGAAGAAGGCUAUGUCUACUGCCUUCUCUUCCAUAACACUGGACAGGGUGGCUGGAGGCUGCUGUUUGAGCAAACCCAAGAGCAAAGUGGCCCUUCACAAUUGAUGGAGCUUCUCAGAGCAUUACUUUGCCAAACCAACCAUGUGAGAAGCGGACCUCUGAAUCGAGCCAUCAAAUGCUAACCCAUUUGGUCACUAGAGGGAGAUAGAGCCAUUUUUGUCUUUCAAAGGCUCUUAAACUGUAGAAGAGUUGUUUUCUUUAGUGGUCAGCCAAAGGGUCUCAGAAAAGAAUUAUCUGGAUAAUUUUUGAAAAUUUAAUUUCUUGAAUGUUGGAGAAUUUCAGCUCUCCCCAGGAGAAUGUUCAGCAAAAUGUCCCCUGAAUCUUGCCACCCACAAACAAUGCAGAGAACGUUGGCAGGCCUUUUCCGCCCAGUCCAUGUUUUAUUGCUGCAAAGAGAGGAUUAUUAUCUCCUCAGCGUGGUCGAGGGGAACUAGACUGCAAAAGCAGAAUCAGGCAGCUGCUCUUUGGGUGUAGGGAAAAGCAUUGUGCUGUUUUCAUUCCUGAAGCACACCCCAUCCACCUGACAAGCUAAAUCGAUACUGAACAUAAUGACUUGAACAAAGGAAAAUCCAUGCUAGCCUUGAAUGUUCAGCCAUGCUCCAAGGAAGAAUAUGUUUCUUACUAAGCAUCAUCAGGGCAUAAAUAUUUGAUGGCUGAGAGGAGGCCACUGUAUGAAUUAUGGAAAAGUUCCAAAAGAAACACAAGCCAUUAUUGCUGGAAGGCCAUAUUGCUGCUGACUUGAGGAACAAACACCUGCUGGGCAACCCCCUCUUUUCUCUGCAAGGAUGUGUCAGGGGAGCCAUGGUCCAUGUUAGAGCAGAAUCUGUGUGGUGCUUAUUGUUGCUAUCUUGGGAGAGGGAGUCUCUGCCCCAUCGAAGAGUACACUCCUAAGCAUGUUUAUUGAGAAGCAGCUCUGAUGGAGUCCAAUUGGGGCUUACUCCCUGCCAAAUAUGCUUACGGUUGCAGCCUUAGCAGCUAAGUUUUGCUUGCCUCAGAGCCAUUUGAUGCAAUCAACUAUUGGUACAAUAGUGGCAAGUUUCACACAGACCAUAUGCCUUCCCUCAAAGAUCCAUUUCUGUGGCGAGAGCAUCAAUUCUUCCCAGCGAUCCAACUGCAAUUGUAUCUGGGAAAAUACAAGACUUCCCGCAGCUAGCACGUUUAUUUGUGAUUCUGUUAAUGAUAGCACACCUCCCUCCCCAUGUCUGUGACCUCAUUUUUAUAGUCUCUCUCUUAAACUGCUAUUCUUCACAGUCUCUCUUCCCACUUGCAACUUCAGCACUUAAAGGCUCAUCCCAAUAUUUUUAAAAAGAUUUGAAAGGCAGCAGCAUUAACCCUCUGCAGCAACACCCUGUCAUUUUUUAAACCUUUAAUUCCAGGUGUUUAUGUAUAACAUUUCUCAGUGGCCUUGGCAGUAAUUCACAUUCUGAGUGGUGUUUUUCACUUUUUUAUGUUUUGCACUGCAAUAUGAUGACUUUGCAGUUCAUGUUCUGUGCAUAGUCCUCUCUUGCACAUGAAAUAUCCUUGUUGUGAAGAUGGUAAAACAUGGGGUGGACAGUACCACUGUUUGGUGGACCAACAGCUGGUUGGACAGCCAUACCCAAUGAAUGCUCAUUAAAGGCUCUGCAUCUUUGGUGGAGUGCUGCUGCUCUGUCCUGCAACUAUUCAGUGACAAGGUGGGGAUCCAUAGCUCAGUGGUCUAGCACAUUUCUUGCAUGUAUCAGGUCCCAGUUUCAAUCCAUAACCUACCUCAGUUACACGCAGAGAGAAAAAUGACCAAACUCUGAGGAUGGACAAAGUAGUAAGGAUUAUCUUCCUUACUUUUCCUGCCAGGGAAAGCAGGGGAUAUGACCUCACAGAGUAUUCUCUCUAGGAAUUUACAGGGGAGAACUCCACGUGUCUUAACUCUUUGCUUGUCUAGCAAAGCUUGAAGUUUUAUUUUGGCUGUGAGAUUAUUUCUCACAAGAUGGGGUAUAAAUGUAAAAACUUACAAACAAACAUAAGAAGAAGCUGCUGGAUCAGGCCAAAGGGCAUCUCACAGUGGUGAACCAGAUGUCUGUGGGAAGCCUGUAAGCAGAAACUGAGUGAUAACAGCACUCUCCCUACCUGCGAUUUCCAGCAACUGGUAUUCAGAGACAUACUGCCUCUGAGGUGUUCAGAGACUUGACAAAUGUGCUUUGCAUGCAGAAGGCCCCAAAUUCAAUCCCUGGCAGCUCCAGGUGAAGGCCCAGGAAGAGCAGGAGAUGUGAAAAAGACCUCUGCCUUGGAUAACCCCUUACAGACAUACUACGGCUAAAUGGACAAAUAGCCUGAGGCAGCUUCCUAUGUUCUUAAAUAAACCAGGAUUCUUGUUGUGUUGUGACCAUUUUUUGUUUUCUCCAGGCAAGGUGAGCUGAUAUGGUGUUGUUUUGUGUGCGCACAUGUGCCCUUGAAGUUUUCAUCUUAUGUGAAGAUAGGUGUAUUGACUUCAUUAUUACAUAAUAGAUACAAGAAACAUGACUGUGCUUCUUUAGGAGCCAGGUCUGUGUGACACCAUUGCUUCAUCAAUAGGCAAAGUACUCACAUGGGUCCAUGCCUUAUUCUCAUGGUCCUACUGAACGGAUCAGUGAGGACGUAGCAAUUAAAGCUAAUUGGAUUUCGGUUGCUGGCAACAUGCAGUAGCUUUCCUGUGCGGAUCUGAACAAUUUUGCAAAUGGGCAGACACCAGGGAAAAGCUGCCGGAGAUAGUGAAAGAUUAGUUUUAUCUGCUGCAUCUUCUUUCUGACAACACGGCUUCCGACGAUCGAGGAAAUGAGGUCAAGGUAGCUCAGCAGGUAGGCUUCACACAUGUGCCCUGCUAGCCCAUUAGAUGAGUUUAGUGGUGAAGGCCAUUUUUAAAUAAACCAGUGAAAGUGGCAGAUCUUCAGGCAACAGUAUGAGAACCAUCCAGUGCUUUGGAAACGUUUGUGCUGUCCAUUGUACUCCAAGAUUGCAAAGGGCCCAUGCCAUGUGCAUAGGUGCCAACUCCUAGGGGUGGGGGUGUCUUUGGUUCCCUGAAUAUUUGUUGGCAGGGGGCUGAGCCCCCACAAUGUUGAGGGGGUGAGCAUGGAGCCAUGCAUGGUGCAGCAUCAGUGGCUGGCUCCUCCUGAGCACAAGAGACGAGGAGCCACUGGACACUGAUGAUGUGCACGUGUGAUGUCACAGGUAUGUGACGCUGCUCAUACACGCAACACUGGGCCCCUUCAAUAUUGGAUGCAGUACUGGUUGUGUAUGCCAUUAGUGAGGCAGGAAGUUGUGAGAUAGUGGAACACAACUUUCAACUAUAUGUACCUCCGCAGCCACAUGUAUAAACAGUGAAUGUGGAACUGCAGCAUAAAAACUCUGGUGACUGAGAAUCUACUAUGGACCAAUGCUUGCUAAUACAAGAUUUAAUGAAAACAUACUAUUAAAAUACAGAAGGUACAUGUAAAUGUUGCUUGCUUCAUUGAAACGAUCUUAUUAUGCUGUUCAGAUAAUGACUGCAGUAGUUUAUCAAACACAGUGGGAGUUGACCUUUUAAAAUAUCUAUCAUAAUGGGACUCAUUCAAGUGUUUCACUGUUUUUAGGAAGAUUCAUGUAAUGCAUAGUGGGAGAUAAGGGAUGGAGACAGGGCAAAUCAGGAUCCUGAAGGGUUUCAGAGAGAAGCAAGGGGAUAGCUGCUGUGGCUAAGACAAGAUGUCCAAAACUGAAGUCUUCAAAAAAGCAAGAUGUCUAUGCUAUUCAAUAACCUGCUGCAAAAGAUUUGUGAAACGCUUUGAGGUCAAAAAUUGCUCAGAUAUGUGCUGAACCUGAUGCCACAACUAGUCCAGGUCUGUUGGAGGUCCCUGGAGUACUGUUGAUUUUCAACCUGUGGGAUCAGUUUCAAUUGUCCAGCCCAAUGACAUGGUCAGGACACUAAUUCCCCAGCCAUGGCUGUUUCUGGACCAGAAAAAGCUGCCCUUAGUAGGUCUGCCUUCACUUCUCCAGCCUCUAAAUGCUGCAAAGCUAUAAAGAAGUGAAGUUCAUUGUAAUAACAUUUGAAAAAUGUAGGGACUGGAAUAUGAGUGAUUAGACCUCUCCUUGGUAGCAUUUGCUCUUGCUAAUAUGUGAAAGAUUUUUCUCUAAUCAUCAUGUCAGGAGCAGAGAGAGCAUGUGCUUACUAUCUGUCACAGUUAAUUUCACCACCAAACACUUUCAUAAAGGAGUGAAAAAUAGAGAUGGCUUAGUAUUACCAAAUGAUUUUGGAAGUUUAAAAAACCCUCAACACAUUUCAAAAUGUGAGCUCUAAGAAUGUGUCUAUUUCUUCCUCCCCUCUGGAAAUCAUUAUAUCUGGCAUUUGCAAACAUGAUCACAUUUCUGGAGUGCUGUAUGUCAGUAGAAGGAACCAGGGCACAUUUUUUCUUUUUCAACUUACCCUCCAGCUACAUGUAGAAUAACAGAUGGGGCUGCAGUGAGAUGCAUGCAGGAAAAGGAAUUUCCUGGCUCAAUAAUUUGCUCACUCUCUCAUAUAAGAGCAUUUUAUAUGAUGUAAAGGACUCCAAAGCCCCAGCUUAUCCUGUGGUCUAACGCAGGCAGGGCUUCCAAAUGUGUUUAUAAUGCAAAAGAUAAACUAUGCUUUAAGCUCCAUUUUACAGAUGGGAAACUCUUUGAUUCAUCCAAAAUUAUAUGGAACGAAAAGGCAGGAAUUGCAUCAAGCUCACUUCAAGUCCUCAAUCCGGCAGCCUUAGAAAUAUGUCCUUGGAAAAACAUAAUCACAGAGCCUCUUGUGUACACCAUUCUUCUGCAACAAAGCAAAAUGGAAUAAGUCAAAGGCUUUUCUUUUGGCUGGUAAAAACAACCAAGAGUCUUGUGACACCUGAAAGGCUAAUAAAUGUAUUAUGCCUGUGAGCUUUCUUGGACUACAGUCCACCUUAUCAGAUGCAUAAAUUUUAUCCUGAGUUGCAUGGGUAUAUAGAAAUGUGAUUUGGAAGGCGGGGAGGUUGGAUACAGUGAGGUCAGAAGAAAGUGAAAUGCAGAAAAGUACAGAUAUUGAUAAUCAUGUUGUUUGGUUGAUGUUUCUCUGAGCACUUGCUUCUUCUCUAAAGCUGUUCAUGAAAACAAUAAUUGGUGUCUCAACUUGCUGUUCAGCAGCCCUUGUGGGGAGAAAAAUGGCCUUCCCUCAUUCUAUUAUUUAACCUGAUAUUCUUCUGAUUAACAGCCAUUUUUCUCUGCUAUCAUCAAAAAAGGUGAAGCAUGGACUGCUGACAUUUUCUUAGUUCAUGCUUGCAGAUUUUAAAUCUCUGAUCUCUCCCUAGCCUUCUGAAGGGUGAACACUCCUGGUUAUUACAUCUCUUUUGUCUUUUUCUCAUAGGCUGUGCUAUGGCACUUCCAGACUGUUGCUAUUUUCUGCUGGGGUUCAAUUACAUACUGGCAAAUUCAGGCUGCACAAUUAAUUUGAUUUGUGCUUUUGUGCAACAAAUCUGCCCCCAUCAGUCUUUUUGCGAUAAGGAAAGUGAUGGGAGAUGUUUCAUACAACAUUGAAUAACCUCCUAGCAAAUUAAUCAGAAUGAAUGUGCAACAAAUAACUGAUGUCGCCUAACCUCCCUGUAAACUUGGGCAAACAAAUCUGGAUGGAUUCUAAAUAAAGUAUGGAGCUGACAUCAAUCUCCUCUGAACCAUCCCCAGUUAGUGAUAUCCAAAGUGAACAUGAUACUGCAAGGAGGGUAUCUCUAUUGCAGAUAUUUCAUUUUUGUGAACUCAUACCAGAACAGCAGUGCCUGUUUCGUUCUGUAGCCUCUUACUUUUGAGAUCUAAAUUAUUCAUUUGCUGUGAAAACUUUACCUCCGUGUGUGUGUGUGUGUUCACACGUGUGCAUGCUUCAGUAUGGAUUUCAUUCAUAGUUUCCUCUUGGCUAAAGGAAGGUUGCUAGGCUUCUACCAAUAAAUGUUGGAGACAACACAUCAUUUACAAAUGGGGCAAAUACUCAAACAUUAUGUAGAAGGGUAACCCUAUGGGUCAGUCCUUGUCCACCAAGUUAUAUUAAUCAGGGGUGGCUAACCUGUGGCCCUCCAGAUGUUGUCGAACUGCAGCUCCCACCUUCCUUGGCCGUUGGCCAUGCUUUCUGGAGCUUAUAGGCAUUAGAAUCCAACAACAUCUGAAGGAUGCCAGUUAGCCACCUCUGUUCAACGUAUUACCCUCAGAACUCAACUAAGAGCUUAUCCACACUUACUUUUUGCCCUGCUCUUUCCAGGCAGAUGGUCUGCACUUCAACACUCCAUGCCCCAAGCAUUUUGCAUUUUCUAUUUUGCCCUGAGCUUUCCAAGCGAAAACUUGCUCUUUAAAGCUGAAUCAGAGGAAAUGUUCAAUCUGGGUUUCUCUGUCUAUCUUCUGCCAGAGUAUAAGUCUGAAAAUAAGGUCUGCAUCACCUUUCUAGCAAUGGUGAGAGCAAGAAAGGACAGGUUAGGAAGGCAGAGGAACAUAGGAAACAACUCUAUGCCAGAUUAUUUCUCCACUAAGCCCGGUAUGGUCUGCUCUAACUGCCAUUAGCUCUUGAGGGUCUUAGGCAAAUGCUCUUUCCCAUUUCAGUCAUAUAACCAGAGAUGCUAAAGAUUCGAACUGGGACCUUCUGUUUGCAAAGUUUUUGUACCAUUGAGCUACAGUGCCUUCCCCUGACAGAGUUACAGAAAAGAACAGGGUCCAUCACCUGCAUUCUAAUCUAAUGCUGAUAUGGAAACAGUGCUAGCUGACAUCUGAUGCCCACUAUCAAUUUGCUAUUAGGCUGAAUUUGGCCCUCUGUGUGGUUCAUUCCUCAAACGACAAUUUGCUGUUCAUGCUUCCUUUGUCUAGCAAGAAUUGCAGCCCUUCUCUCUGUUUGCACGUGCCGUGCACCGUGCAGAAGCCUUUCUGAAAGCAUAAGGCCCUGGAAUAGAGCUCUUAGUGGAAUUUUGGCAACCGGCAUGCCUAACAGAUUAUUUUUAAAAAUAGGCUGGGGAAAAAUGCCCCCAGUGACAGCCGCAAGCCUGUUCUAAAUUGGGAUUAAAACGGAUUUUGCUUUGUACAACAUUUAGCCUAAAACAAAUGGCACCACUAAUGACAUUAGCAUGGCCAACAUUCUCUGCUUAUUAGGCAGCUCUGUGGCUUGGGCAUUGCAAAGAAUCCCUCCAGGGCUUAAUAAGCCUUAUUGGCCUCAUGUUAUUACUGUAACAGCAUGGCUCCUUGAGCUCUGAGCCAAGGAGAUCAGAGAACACAAACGAUUCCAAGCUCAGCAAGAAGAUGACACAAAGAAACUUAUUCAAUUUGUUUUAAAUUUGGAUCCAUGCGUGACCUUGGGCAAGCUGCUUAAUUUCAUUGGUUUUCCAUCUUUAAGAUGGGAAAUGAUUAUGCUUCUUUGACCUGUCUUGGGUGUCUCAUUUGUAAGGCUUUAGGACAGGGAUUGUUACUCACUCGAGCUGAACUAAGCAUUCGCAGCACAACUCAUAUCCAUCAAAAUUAGCAAUUUAGAUCAUCUUAAUCUGGAUAUAGAACUCUUCCCCAAUUUGAAAGGUCUGCCAGCAGAGUUGUGGCUGUUGCUUAAUGAACUAAAAGGCCAAUGGAUGAGAUGAAAUAUGUUGAGCCAGAGAAAGUGGGCACACGGAAGUGGAAAAAUGUAUCAAGCACACAACAUGACUGUGCAUUACUAUCUUGCAGACAGAUCAAAUGUGAACAUACCAAAGUUUCUCUGUUCACAUAUCCUCCGCAUACAGACUGACAUUUUCAAGGGAUCUAAAGCCCGCAGAACAGGAAUGGGGAACUUGUGGAUUUCCAGAUGUUGUUAAACACCAAUCAGGCCAACCAUAGUAGCACUUUGCACAAUCAGAAUCCAGUUUCUGCCAAGCUGGUAAUUUAAUGGUGAUGACAAUAUCAGAUUUGCAUGGAUAUCUGCAAAUCUGAUGACAAUAUCAGAUUUACCAUUGGGUUCAGAGUAGAUGAUAUGAACGUUCACCUAAAGAUGUAUCACUUCAGUUAUGGGAGCAAUGAAUGGCUCCUUCCCAAAGCAUCCAAAAUAUUUCCUCAUCUCAGGUUCAGUUUUUCAGCACUGUCUUGCGUUGUGACCAACAAAUGAAUGUUAUUUUGACCCUGUGCCUUGCACUGAGAGCUAAUCCCCAGAGCAGAUUUAGGGAGCUGCCUUAUACAGAGUCAGAUCAUGGGUCCCUCCAGAUCAGUGUUAUCUGUGCUGACUGGCAGGUGCCCUUCAGGACUUCAGACAGGUGUCUCUCCCAGCUCUGAUUGGAGAUGCUGGGGACUGAGCCUGGAAGCUUCUGGAUGCAAAGCAUGCACCUUUCCAUGGAGCUACAGUCCUUCUCCAGAGCACAGUACAGACUAGGCAACACACACACACACACACACACACACACACACACACACGACUUUGCUUCCAUUUGUCAAUUGAGUUAGCAGGCCAAAACCAAAAUAAAUUCCUUCUUAGGCCUUUACAUGACCAUCUGCUCCUGCAUUGUGAUCCAGGUGGUUGGAUGCCAAAUCUGUUCUGAAUAUGCCAACAGAGGAGUGGGCACUGGGCUUACAAAAAAGAAACACAAACAACCUCUUCUAAGCCUUGCCCUGUCCAGCUCCUGACAUCCCUCCCCACAUGAGAUGGAUGCAAGGCUGCCAGACCCCCAGACCCAUUUCAAGGCUUGUGUGCAUGGGGGGGGGGCAGCAGGGGUUGAAAUUUUGUUAGGAUGAUGGUCUAGGUUGGCUGUUGGAACAGGCAAAUGCUUUCCAGUAGCAUUUUGAGUUUGUCUCAAACCCAUACUGACGUUUGCUUGAUCUUAUGUAGGUUUCUUUUUCCUCCUUUGCUGUGCAUUCAAGGUGUGAUGCAAUAUAUUAUCACUUGACCUACUCACAACAACCCUAUAAAAGGAAGGUGAGAGAGUGAUCUACUCAAAGCCACAAAAUAAGGUUUGAAGGUGGGGUUCUCAUGUCUAAUCAUAUGAUUUUAAAAAAAAUAAAACAACCAACUUAAUUCAAAGUACCAUAAUAAAACCUCACCUUAAUCUCAGCAGCUGACCAGGAUGACUAGGCUAUGCAUUGGACAGGGAGCUUGGAGCUUCCUCUUCCAAAUGUGCUGGCAACAGCCCAGAGACAACCUCCCAGGUGUGGGGGAGUGUAGAUCAGGUGAAUUCACUUUGAAAUGCAGACCCAGCAGAUUUGUUGAGCAUCCCUAGCUGACAUACCUUAACACGAAUCCCCCCCUCAAUACAAGUAACAAUAAAAAUCAUACAAAAAUAUCAGUAAAAAACUAUUUCCGUCUACUGCCUCACCUAGUUGUUAAUGGCAAACUAAAGACAUCCCAGCAGUUGUUAUUGCUCAAAAGUUUUCUUGAAUAAGUGGGUGUUGCACUAUCUCCUAGAAAUCAGAACAGAAGUAAACAACCAUGCCUUGCAUCACCAUAUUUUAUGUUCAGCAACCAUGGGUACUCUUUUCUGGAGGGACUCUGAAGGAUUACAAAUUAUUACACAUCAAUCAAUUUUCUUAAAAUGUGUGCAGUUACAAAAUCAGCAAGCCCUUGAUUGCAUCUCAGGUAUUUUGGUGGUGUUAGCGCCUGUCAAUCAUGCAUCCUCCAUAACUAUACGGUCUGUUUAAAAACUCCCUUGCUAUGUAAGGCAGGGAGCAAUCAGAUCUUCUCUCACUGCCUAAGUAGGUGGGAGCCGACCCCCUUUAUAUAUAAUAUGCAUGAAGCCCUGGGCAGACCAUGAUCUGCCCUUCUUUGAACAUGACAGAGUAAUCAGCAGCAGAGUUGAAAAUUGUUCUAAUUGCUGAGUGUAGGCUUUCCCACCGUGCAAAGUAUUAUGGUGACACGUCCUCUCCCGCCCUCAUCUAGCUUCCUCUGUUGCUGGGAAGGUUAAUUAGUGUAAGACUGAACAUCAUCUCCUUUGAUCUUCCAGCCUUGAUUCAUUAGUUUUCAAAAAGAACCAAUGGUGAGAGCCAAGAGGAUCCUCAAAUCUCAUAUUAAUCAACCCCCCCAUUCCUCCCCAUCAGUUUUUGCUUGCUCAGAGAUGGAUGGAUAAACGCAACAUUACUGUGCUCUUUUCAGUAAAGUGCUAGGCGGGAUUCCAUGAAAGAUUCAUUUGCUCUUUCUUCUUUUACAUAAUAGGUAGAGACUGAGCGCACAUCUCUUCACUGUGAGGAGCUGCAACAUAAAGAAUCCCACCAAGAGGGAGAACCUUGUAUCUUUUUGAUAUUGGCUGAAAGGCACACUUGUGAAUAAAUUGUUCCAUGGCAAUUUUGGCAACUGACAACGUUCUUCUUCAGUGCAAACAACUGAUGUAAGUAAGGUGUUAGUUAGUUAGUUAGGUUUUUUUUAACUCACUUUACUCCAAAAUGAGAACAGUGAGACAAAGUUGGAAAGCUUAGAGCCUUGACUUUAAGGCUCCUACUUCCUGGAGAAACUCUCUUUUAGCAAUACUUUGACUUUGAGCUGCUCCUUCUGUGAUGGGACAAGAGAAGAAUGGUCCGGUGAGUGCAUGGGCUGCAGCAUCUUUAGUGAAGAUGGCAUACUCAUGUCUCACAUUUAUAUUCUACGCCAUUCACUAUUGGAGGGUGGGAGUGGAUGGCGUGGAAUAGGCUCCUCUCUUGUAUGGAUAGGGAACCUGUGGCCCUCCAGAUGUUCAUAGAAUCGUAGAGUUGGAAGGGACAAUGAGGGUGUUCUAGUCCAACCCCCGGCAAUGCAGGAAUGUUUUUCCCAACAUGGGGCUUGAACCCACAACCCUGAGAUUAAGAGUCUCAUGCUCUACCGACUGAACUAUUGGGCUACAACUCCCAUUAUCCCUGGACCACUGGGCAUGCUGGCUGGGCUUGAUAGGAGUUAGUUGAGCAACAUCUGGAGAACCACGGGUUCCCCAUUAGAUGGUUCUAUUAGCACAUCAUCUGACAAUGGCCAGAGUCAGGGACAGGACAAUGGGCAGGAGGAAUCACUGAUUUGGUUCAGAAGGCCUGCUCUUUAUCCAUGCUUGUUUGCAUGACAACAAUGGCCACAUUUGGCAUUACACAAGUGAUCCUUUUCCUAAACAGCUGCAGAUGCUUUUUUGUACUAUGCGCGUAUUUUGAGGGUUCUGAGUUGUAUAGUUAUUUUAUAGUUAUAAUGGUUAUUGUUAUGCUUUAUUUAUGGUAUUAUUUUGUAUUUUAUACCCUGUUGUACAUUGCCCAAGGCUCCCUUAGGAGGAAGAGUGAUUUAUAAAUGAAACAAACAAACAAAUAAAUCUGUCUCUUUUUCCAUUCAUUUAUUUGCAUUAUCUACAUAGAAAAAAAGUUUUAACGAAUAUAUCAAACCUGCAAGUCUGAAGCAGAAGCUAUACAUCAUGUACAAAAAUGAAAGAGGGCGAAAUGGCUAUGAUUUAUACAAAGGUUGCAUAUUUAAUUUAAUUUAAUUUAACAUGAUUUAUAUACCACUCAAUCAACAGAAAUACAUAUGUGUUUCAUUUACAGGUGACUGAUUUCAAGUUUGGAGUGGCCUUGAGGGAGUCUUCAGCAACUGCUUUCCAUUGCAAGUCUCUGUCCGUCCC